GAAAAUUAGGGAAGCGAUGAUGUAUAAUCCUUUACUUGGACACUUGGGUUAUACGGAGCUGGUAGUGUAACCGGCCCUCUUAGAA
rnacentral:ncRNA from 1 species